rnacentral:rRNA from 1 species
GAUUUUAAUGAGAUUUUAUAUUCCUCGAAGAAAGAGGGGGGCAAUGCGAGACCAAAUGGAAUGAUGAAGGAUUUUCGUGAUUGUCUAGCAGAAUGUGGCUUGGAUGAUAUGGGGUUCAUAGGCGACCCCUUUACAUGGAGGAGAGGUGAGAUUAGGGAACGUCUUGACCGUGCAGUAUGUAAUGUACAAUGGGCGCAUAAAUUUCCUCGGGCGGUUGUGAUUAAUGAAAACCAUGUACAUUCUGACCACCGGCCGUUAGUU